rnacentral:rRNA from 1 species
CCUACGGGUGGCAGCAGUGAGGAAUCUUGGGCAAUGGACGAGAGUCUGAACCAGCCAAGUAGCGUGAAGGAUGACUGCCCUAUGGGUUGUAAACUUCUUUUAUAUGGGAAUAAAACAGGGUAUGCAUACCCUCUUGUAUGUACCAUAUGAAUAAGGAUCGGCUAACUCCGUGCCAGCAGCCGCGGUAAUACGGAGGAUCCGAGCGUUAUCCGGAUUUAUUGGGUGUACAGGGAGCGUAGGUGGAUUGUUAAGUCAGGUGUGAAAGUUUGCGGCACAACCGUAAAACUGCAGUUGAAACUGGCAGUCUUGAGUACAGGAGAGGUAGGCGGAAUUCGUGGUGUAGCGGUGAAAUGCGUAGAUAUCACGAAGAACACCGGUGGCGAAGGCGGCUUACUGGACUGCAACUGACACUGAUGCGCGAAAGUGUGGGUAGCGAACAGGAUUAGAUACCCGAGUAGUC